UUUCUCAUUUUAAACGCAUGUCAUAACUCUAAAAUUUAGCUGAAGAAUCACGUUCCUUUAUCGGGAGAGAGAGAGAGAUUAUCUGCCGAAAGCCCGUCAUAGGCCAGUCUUCAAUUUUAAAUAAGCGAGUCGAGUUCAGAUUUAUUGGUUUGGGGAGAAUAAAGCAUUAAUUGGGUCAUAAAGUUUGGAUUGGGCCCCCAAUAUCAUCAAUAAUCUACCCCAAGACAUAAAAAAUAAAAAAUAGAGAGAUUUGAGAAGAGAAGAGAACCCUAGCUCCCAGCAAGAGUAACUAAGCAACUUUGAGAGGGAGAGGGAGAGGGAGAGGGAGAGCUUCCACGGAAGCUGAGACUGCUCUUCUUCCAGGUCGUGGUUACCGUUGAGGCUGGUAUUGCUGUGUCUAUCAUAACAAACAAUGGCAGAUGGUCAUGAAACGGAUAAGAAUAUCGAGAUAUGGAAAAUCAAGAAGUUGAUCAAAGCCCUGGAAUCUGCAAGAGGAAAUGGUACCAGCAUGAUAUCUCUUAUAAUGCCUCCACGUGAUCAAAUAUCUCGUGUGACUAAGAUGUUGGGUGAUGAAUUUGGAACUGCUUCAAACAUCAAAAGCAGAGUCAACCGUCAGUCGGUUUUGGCCGCCAUUACUUCUGCUCAACAGAGGCUGAAGCUGUAUAAUAAGGUUCCUCCCAAUGGGCUUGUCCUUUAUACUGGAACAAUUGUUACUGAGGAUGGGAAGGAAAAGAAGGUCACGUUUGACUUCGAGCCUUUUAAGCCUAUAAAUGCAUCACUCUACCUCUGUGAUAAUAAGUUUCACACAGAAGCCCUAAAUGAACUCUUAGAGUCUGAUGACAAGUUUGGUUUUAUUGUCAUGGAUGGAAAUGGCACACUUUUUGGGACAUUGAGUGGAAACACACGAGAGGUUCUUCAUAAAUUCACAGUUGAUCUACCAAAGAAGCAUGGAAGAGGAGGGCAGUCAGCUCUGCGGUUUGCUCGUCUUCGGAUGGAAAAGAGGCACAACUAUGUGAGAAAAACUGCAGAACUUGCCACACAAUUCUUCAUUAAUCCUGCAACGAGUCAGCCUAAUGUUUCUGGGCUAAUACUUGCAGGUUCUGCCGACUUCAAAACUGAGCUGAGUCAGUCAGAUAUGUUUGAUCCUCGAUUGCAGGCAAAGAUAUUGAAUGUGGUUGAUGUUUCUUAUGGAGGCGAAAAUGGUUUCAAUCAAGCUAUUGAGCUGUCAUCAGAAAUCCUGUCAAAUGUGAAGUUUAUACAAGAGAAACGCCUUAUUGGGAAAUAUUUUGACGAGAUCAGCCAGGAUACUGGGAAAUAUGUCUUUGGCGUAGAGGACACAUUGAAAGCUCUAGAAAUGGGUGCUGUAGAAACACUUAUUGUUUGGGAAAAUUUGGACAUUAAUAGGUAUGUCCUGAAACACAGCACCACUGGUGAGAUAAUAAUAAAGCACCUGAACAAGGAACAAGAGGCUGAUCAGAGCAACUUUCGGGAUCCAGCUACCUCUGCGGAUUUGGAAGUUCAGGAGAAGAUGUCCUUACUUGAGUGGUUCGCCAAUGAGUAUAAGCGGUUUGGCUGCACACUUGAAUUUGUUACCAACAAAUCUCAAGAGGGAUCACAAUUUUGCAGAGGGUUUGGUGGGAUCGGGGGUAUACUUCGUUACCAGCUUGAUAUGAGAUCCUUUGAUGAGUUAUCUGAUGAUGGAGAAGUAUACGAGGAUUCGGAUUAAGUGUCGAUCGCCUGUGGUUUACUGCACUUGUUGGAGGAUGUUGUGAAAGUUUGCACCAGGUACAAUUGUCUUUGCUCCUGCAGCUGCCUGCGAGACUCAAAAAUACAGUCUGUGAUUUCACUGCUUCAGGGUUUAUUUUGCUUCUCUUCCAUUGGAUGUGUAAUGAUAUUAACUCGGUAGCUAAAUAUCUCCUCCUUUGCCGUUGGCAGAGAGCUCAGGUUUGAUGCAUGCUAGGUGGCAAACUAUAGCAUCAUCUCUCUCUUUUUGGUGGGAAGGAAUUGCGAGAUCAACUUCGGACAAUUUUUGGUGCUAUCCUUGCACUCCAGGACCCGGGGCUUUAUAUGCACGGCCGAAGUUAUUCUUUAGUCUCAGAAGGUUCUACGAAUGAAUGGAUUGCAUGGUUCUUCUCAUCAUGAUGUUCUGACUUUUCAUGGAGGGAGUACCAAAGUCUUAAAACCUUCUGAGGUGUAAAAAACCAAGCCAUUGAAUCAUACAAAACAGACCAACCAGUAUUCCGAGCAAAUCAAAUUUGGUUGAGGUUUCAAUUCAGCCCAGACUGAAUUGGAAGAAGUUUAGCGUCAUUGCAUGCAAAAUUUUGAAUA